rnacentral:lncRNA from 1 species
UCAUGGUUAUGUUGAUGAGUUGACCUUUGUUCAUUGUGCUGACCUCUAUGAUAACUUUGUGCACCUGAAUGUAUAUCUGAUGAGAAAACAAUUGUAUAAUUAAAAGACUAUAUAUUACCGAAAAUUUGAUGUAACUAUUUAUGGUGAGAUUAAAAGUUAGUUGAAUAUUUGGAAUGAAAUAUAAUUUGAAGUAAUUACACAUAAAUUUAUAAAUACUAACCAAUAAUAGGUUCAACGGUUUGUAGAUGAUUUGGUCUUGUCGCGUUGCUGUAAGUUUGAUGAUAUAUUGUUGGAUCAAAGUUAUAACCUGUAUAAAAAAUGUAAGAACAAUUGUUAGGUAUAUAAGAAGGCAUUUAAAAAGUUAUACAUAUAUCGAUAUGAUAUAUAUGUAUGAUUUAGUAACAUUAAUUGACCAUUGUUAGUUUCGGGACUACGACGAUGACUUGGGCCUGCUUCAUUGUCAUGACUUCCAUGAUACCUUGUAGUAUUAGUGACAUCAGCUGGAAAAAAUAGAGUAUAUAAAUUAUAUGACUUGGUUAUAAAUGAUUGUCACAUAUUUGAUCAUAACUUUAAAGUGUUUAUGUUAACUAAUUUUCAAAGGAUUGUAGUACUGAAAAGUUGAUAUCAUAUAAAAGUAAUAUUUGUAUAUAUAUAUAUACAUAAAAAAUAGUAGAUAUAUUUAUACAUAGUGUAUAUGUUUUAAGUAUUAGAAGAGGUUACCUGUGCGAAAUUGUUGACAUAAGACUGAUCUAGCAAUAUGACGUACGUACGUUAAUCUCAUUGCACUCGAAAUAUUUGUUGGUAUAUCUUCAACAUGACCAUGAUUAUAACCUGAAAUGUGAAUUAUUUUUUUUUAAUAUUAUCAUUGUGUCAUUUCAAUUUUAAGCUUAAUUUCAGUAAUUUUAAAAAUAGUGUUAUUAUUUUAAGAAAAUAUAUGUGACAACUACAAUAAUAGAAUUAAGUUAUAAUAAAAUGAAUAAUUUUACAUAGUGUGUGUAUUUCAAGUAUAAAAGAAAAUACCUGUGCGAAAUUGUUGUCGGAAAGAUGAUCUAGCAAUUUCACGUACUGACGUCAAUCUCAAGGUAGUUAAAAUAUUUGUUGAUGUAGUCUCAAAAGGGUUAUGAAUAGAACCUAAAAUUACAACAAAUCAAAGUUGAAUAAAACGUAUUAUAAUAUAUUAAUAUUUAGACUUUAACAUGAGUAAUAUUUGAGUUUCUUCAGUGUAUGGAAAUGAUAUGUGGCAAAUGUAAUAAUACUUGUAGUUCUUUGUUCAGAGUUUGUGCGAACAUGAAGAUUGUAAUCAUUUAAUUGUGCUUCAUU